GCCAGUGUGGCGAAAUGGCAGACGCACGAGACUUAAAAUCUCGGGACUUUAAAAAGUCGUGCGGGUUCGAGUCCCGCCACUGGCACCA
rnacentral:tRNA from 1 species